CCUACGGGAGGCAGCAGUGGGGAAUAUUGCACAAUGGGGGAAACCCUGAUGCAGCAACGCCGCGUGAGUGACGAAGGCCUUCGGGUUGUAAAACUCUGUCUUAGCUGACGAUAAUGACGGUAAGCUAGGAGGAAGCCACGGCUAACUCCGUGCCAGCAGCCGCGGUAAUACGGAGGAUGCAAGCGUUAUCCGGAUUUAUUGGGUUUAAAGGGUGCGUAGGCGGUUGGAUAAGUCAGCGGUGAAAGUUUUCUGCUUAACAGGAAAAAUGCCGUUGAUACUGUCUGGCUAGAAUAUGGUUGCUGUGAGUGGAAUGUGUGGUGUAGCGGUGAAAUGCUUAGAUAUCACACAGAAUAUCGAUUGCGAAGGCAGCUCACAAAGCCAUUAUUGACGCUGAGGCACGAAAGUGUGGGGAUCAAACAGGAUUAGAUACCCUGGUAGUCCACACUGUAAACGAUGAUAACUCGCUGUCGGCGAUACACAGUCGGUGGCCAAGCGAAAGCGAUAAGUUAUCCACCUGGGGAGUACGACCGCAAGGUUGAAACUCAAAGGAAUUGACGG
rnacentral:rRNA from 1 species